AGAAGCAGCAGAUAUGUUAGGAAUAUUGCACAGCCUUGUAAUCUUAGUACUCUUAACUGCAAUUGAAAUGUCUGGAAUGACAGUAACUUGUUUGGGCUGCCAUCAUGAAGCUAGACUUCAUUUAUCAUUAACUUUAUUUUUGGGCUGCAAUCCCUAAUUCUACUGAGAUAUAGAAGAGACACAGGAGGCAGAAGCCACAGAGAAAAAACACCAAAAGGCUUCAAGUACACUGUGAUCGUCUAUUCAAGUCUUUCUCUGUUGAUAAAGUUUUCCAAAAUCAUAAUAGAAGAAUCUCAAAAUAGUGACAAAACAGUAACCUUCUUUGUUGAUUAGCUAACCUGGCUUCUGCGGAGAUUAGAUUCUGGGCUGUGUGUCUGAAACAUUGUCUACUAUCCUGGCCUUGUAUUCUUAUCAAUAACAAAAAUAUUAUUUCCAGCCACCUAUCUCUU
rnacentral:lncRNA from 1 species